rnacentral:lncRNA from 1 species
AUUGAAUGCUCUCAAAGCUGAACUUUUUGCCUGUUUAAAGUGACACAGCUGUAUAGUUGAUCCCUCCUUGAAGGACUUUUUUUUUUUUUUUUUAAGUACACCCUGUUGAAUUUGAUGACUUCUUAAUCUUAACUGUUAGCUGGAGUCUUCACAACUUAAUUAUCCAGAUAUAACAGAAACUGAGAUGUUAAUAAUAAACUCAGAAAUCUGCUGCUUAACCAGCUGUCUUGUUAAUUAUGGUAACAACAGACUGGCAAUUGCUUUGAUUAAAACACCCUGGGCUUGGUUUGCCUUUUCAAGCCCCUAUCACUGUCCAUAGAGAUUCAGUUCUGCUGUGCUCUCUCCCCUUCCAAGCAUGCAGAGGAGCACACCAGGGCCUCUGGAGAGGCUGCUGUGUAGCCCAGGACAAGGAUUCUGCCUCAGAACAUCCCUGUGUACUUUAAUCCUCAAGCUCCUGUGUAACUGGUAAGGAACUCUCUAUGCUGCCUCAUUCUGAGUAAAUUGCUCCUUGAAAUAGGAAGUGCUGGUUUUUUUCAUGUGCUGAGGUGCAAUAAAAGGCCAACUCCCCACCCAUUCUGAACAUAAUCUUCCUUUGAUUCUAUCUUAUAAAAAGCUGAGAUUGUGCUGGAGGAGAGCAAGACGCACCUUCAGCGUGCUCGGAAACGUCUCGUUGGAAGGAUGAAGCUCUGGGCAAUUUGUGGCUUUUUGUUUCUCUGUCUUUUGUGCCUCAAUGUCUUUUCUGCAGAAGGUCAGAGGAUGAGAAGACGCUGCUGUUCAAAAGCAUCCAAAGUCAACAAAAAUCAACAUAAAGGUAAAAAGGUUUACAGUUUCAUUAUAUAAAUUAGGUAAUCAUAAGAGAGAAAUCACAGCACUCUGUUUUUUUCCAUCUGCAAACUUCACAUAAUUUUCCAUACAGGUAAAUAUUAGCUUCAUUGGAUCACUGAGAACUUGUUCUCUUUUUUUUAGGAAACUUACUGAGUGUUUGGAUUGGGAAGAAAUAAGAUUAGAAAAUAUUAGAACCCAUUUAAUGCCCAUAGU